rnacentral:rRNA from 1 species
AGGCCUACCAUGCAGUCGAGCGCCCCGCUUGGGGAGCGGCAGACGGGAGAGUAACACGUGGGAACGUACCCUUUGGUUCGGAACAACCCAGGGAAACUUGGGCUAAUACCGGAUAAGCCCUUACGGGGAAAGAUUCAUCGCCGAAGGAUCGGCCCGCGUCUGAUUAGCUAGUUGGUGGGGUAACGGCCCACCAAGGCGACGAUCAGUAGCUGGUCUGAGAGGAUGAUCAGCCUCACUGGGACUGAGACACGGCCCAGACUCCUACGGGAGGCAGCAGUGGG